AUUAUCUUGGCAGAUAAGUGCAAUAAAUUUAGAAUUUAUUUAUGUGAUAUAUUUCACAGAUAAUA
rnacentral:tRNA from 1 species